GUCCCUGUGGAUCAAGGAAGAUCGCUCAAUUUAUAUGGGUUUUGUUGAAAUUCUUGGAGAGACGGGUGUUCGAACCGCCCCAGGGACA